AACGAACGCUGGCGGCAUGCCUAACACAUGCAAGUCGAACGAGACCUUCGGGUCUAGUGGCGCACGGGUGCGUAACGCGUGGGAACCUGCCCUUAGGUUCGGAAUAACUCCCCGAAAGGGGUGCUAAUACCGGAUAAUGUCUUCGGACCAAAGAUUUAUCGCCUUUGGAUGUGCCCGCGUUGGAUUAGCUAGUUGUUAGGGUAAAAGCCUACCAAGGCGACGAUCCAUAGCUGGUCUGAGAGGAUGAUUAGCCACACUGGGACUGAGACACGGCCCAGACUCCUACGGGAGGCAGCAGUGGGGAAUAUUGGACAAUGGGCGAAAGCCUGAUCCAGCAAUGCCGCGUGAGUGAUGAAGGCCUUAGGGUUGUAAAGCUCUUUUACCCGGGAUGAUAAUGACAGUACCGGGAGAAUAAGCUCCGGCUAACUCCGUG
rnacentral:rRNA from 1 species